rnacentral:ncRNA from 1 species
CUAUCUCAUGGUUUAACUGCAUUGAUUGUCUUGAACCUGGUCAUGAACAACCCUGUUACCGUUGAAUAUAUGCGAACGUUUUUAACGAUCACAACAAACGCGCAUGGCCGUUUUUAGUCGGUGGAGAGACAUGUCUGGUUAGUUCCGAUAACGAACAAGAAUUUUAGCCUGAUAAAUAUUAGACUGGUCCUCUGUGCUCGUUUAAGGCGUGGCUUCCAUUGCUUUUUAUGGAAUAGUAUGGUCGUGAGCCGGCGGGUGCGGUACCAAUUUUUACUUCUUAGAGGGACAAGCGUCAUGUUUAAGUGGCACGAAAUUGGGCAAUAACGGGUCUGUGAUGCCCUUAGAUGUCUGGGGACACACGUGCGCUACAAUGACGGUGCCAACGAGUCUGGACACCUGGCCGAAAGGGUUGGGCAAACUGUUUCAUCAAGUUCGUAACUGGGGUUUGUAAUUAAUCCCCGUGAAUGAGGA